rnacentral:tRNA from 1 species
GCCACGGUGGUCUAGCGGUUAGAACGCUGGCCUUGUAAUCCUGGGGUCUCGGGUUCGAUUCCCGUCGUUGCC